rnacentral:rRNA from 1 species
UGGGGAAUAUUGCACAAUGGGGGAAACCCUGAUGCAGCGACGCCGCGUGAAGGACGAAGUAUUUCGGUACGUAAACUUCUAUCAGCAGGGAAGAAAAUGACGGUACCUGACCAAGAAGCCCCGGCUAACUACGUGCC